GUGAGUCCUUGAAGCAAGGGUGGAGAGGCUUUCACAACAGGCAGAGGAUCUCUGGACAGAGGGAAGAGGCACUGUAAGAACAUGUGUAUUGCCAGAGCUGCCAUUAGGGCCAAGAUCUGUAUGGAUGAAUAGUGACCGUUUGGAAAGUGCUAGUGUGGCCAAGAUGUCAGAUGUCAGAUAUCAGCAUCAGGCUUACAGAUGGGCGGAGGCCUUCCCAAUUCUGCAGCAAAUUCUGUGUCGGAGAUCACCAAUGACCUCAUUGCUCAUGUAAAAAAGGUCCUUGCUCAGUCCUCAUCUACCUUCCCCAAUUAGUUGCAAAAUUAAUCAAAGCCACUUUCUUGAAACUUUC